rnacentral:lncRNA from 1 species
GGGCUUUGGGUGAGAGCAAGGACGUCUUUCAAAAACCACAAGCUGCUGGAAGAGCCUCCCCCACUUACUCAGAUGUUUCUUUCUCUACAGUUGUUUUCUCUUUCGAGGUUACAGCAGUCAGAAUUAAAAGCUGUAGCCUUGACUCCAAGGCAGAGUUCUUCCUCCCGGGGUCUGCGGUCCAUUCCAUGCGUGCUGGAUGAUUGCAUUUAAGUUUUCUGAAAGAAAAUGCGCAAGUCCUCUGAGUGAUGUCUAUCACGGAAGUUGUAAAACUGUGCCGAGUGUGACCACAGCUUGUGCCUAGAAAUGGACUGAAGAAAACAUCCUAAAACGUUCACAGCGAGUUGUCCCACUGAUGAUUGGUGGAGUCGCCUGAUCUUGUGUCUGUUCAAGCCUCAGUCAACAACCUGGGAGGCCUCUUCCGUCACCAAGUCACCGUGAACUCACACGGCCCUCCUGCCUCUUCCUCUAAGCUCCUUCACCAGGAGAACUGAUGGUCACAUCUACCUUGUUGGACUGUCAUGAGGUACAAAUAGGAUGGUGAUGAUAAACGUUCUUGAAGAACCACAGAGCAUCGUGAAAGAGAAGGUAUGACUGUGGGUGAGGUGAGCGUCAAGGGCUUGUUAAGGGCAGCUUUGCGGGAGGGAGAAUCGUGCGAGUAGCAAACGACCAGAGAUGUGAGUGUGGACGGAGGAGCGGGCUUCCGAUUGGCUGGCCUCCAGAGCUGCAGGGGGGUCUUCCCACUAGCUGUAUGUUGCCUAAGGGUUUCCCGCCUCCAGCACAGAGACCUUCUUCACCUGUAAGGAGAUCUGAACGAGCCACCACUUCCUGCAGCAGAAUGGGACAGAGCGGGAGAGUUAAGUAGGGGAGAGCGCAGCAUAAUAGCAAAAAAAUGUGUCGCUGAACUUCAUUGCGCUCCAGGCACCAUUUUAAGCUCUAUUUUAAGCAUUCAUUUUAAUUCUUGACGUAUGCCUAUAACAUGGCUACCUUUAUUAUUCAUGUUUACAGAUGAGGAAACUGAGUCACAGGGAGGUCAAUUACCUCUCUGGGGUCUCCCGGCUAGAAAGUGAUGGUGCUGAGAUUUGAACCUAAGCAGUCUGGAGAGUCCACACUCCUAACCAGGGGAUUUCUCUGUUUAGUUAGAAGGCUCAAAUGGGCGGGGGCCUGGGAGGACGGAGGGAAUGGCUCACCUACCAGGGAGAGGUAAAUUUAGUCGUUCAUUUUGUGUCUUUCUUCUUCAAUAGACUUUCAUGAACAAUCAGAGUGCAUUGUGUUUGCACAUUUAUUCUGAGAGCAACCCUAAAAUGGAAUCAAUUAUGAUGCUUCAAUAUUGCAUAAGGAAUAGGGAAAAUAACCAAGAAUGGAAUAUUUUCUUAAAAUCAAAAUUAUCUGGAAAUCAAAUUCUAGUCUGACUCCUUAACUUAGGUUUCGAAUUUCAGGAUUACACUGCCACCUAGUGCAGACAAACAUUUUCGCAGAGUGUGAAAGCUAGUGAAUGCACAUAAAAUUUCACAGGAUGCAACAUAAACAAUGUUUAUUUAAGGGUUCUUUCAUAAAACAGAAAGAGCGAUUUCAGAAUUACAGAUCUCUAUCUAUGUGUUUUUUUGCUGAGGAAGAUUUGCCCUGAGCUAACAUCUGUUGUCAAUCUUCCUUUUUUUAAAGCGAGCUGCCACCACAGCAUGGCUGCUGACAGGCGAGUGGUGAAGUUCUGAGCCCAGGAUCUGAACCUGGACUGCCAAAGUGGAGUGUGCCAAACUUAACCACUAGGCCACUGGGGCUGGCCUCUAUGCUUUAAUGGUAAAGGGUAACAUGGAAUUCAGGAACACACUUUAGAUUUCUUGCUUGAUAAAUGAGCAUAGUGCAGAGAGAAGACUUGGGUUUCUGUACUUCAUUCUGCUGAGUAAAUUUCUUGAUACAUGUCUAGUAAGGAAAUUAGUACAAUUUUUUCAUGAGCACAAAAGUUCCCAGUGGGUCUUAUGCGUUCAGCUAAUAAUUAUUUAAAAAAUUUAUGCAGCAAAUACUUAACACGUACACUCUGAAGGUCAGUAUCUGUUGUAACAAAGGAGGGGGAGCCUAACGGAGUAGAAAACGUGAGCUUUGUGAGCCGUGGUUCUCGCGGGACCAGCAGCCCAGCGUCGCCUGGGGGCUUGUUGGAAAGGUGAGUUCUCAGACCCGCCGGGAUCUCCUGAAUCAGACUCUGGGGCUGGAGUCCAGUGACGUUUUUAACAAGUCGUUCAGAUGAUUCUGACGCAGUGUGGGAAGCACUGACAGAGAAGACGUCCUUCCAGGAGGGGAGAAGCAGGCUGAGGGGUCACACGAGGUUAAUCAGAAGAAGGGGAGGCUCAGGACGCCAAGGGCUGCUGCAGACUGACGCUCCACCCACGAAGCAGCGCUCCCGGCGGCAGCUCCUGGAAGCUCCUGGUUUCCGUGCAGGGGAAUGGAUUCCUGUCUUCCGUGGGGAAAUGGAAAUGGUCACAUUUUAGGAGAAGCAAAAGUGAUGCACUGAAAAGCCUGGGGAUGGGGUUUAUCUUAAAUACACAUUCUUCUAUUAAUGGUCUGUGGUGUGAACACAUUUGUUUGUGAGUGAUUCCAGAGAGAAAUGGCUACUGUCAUGGGCUCUAUUUGCUUGCUUUAUACGAUUAGGCUACAAUUACAAGUAUAGGACCAAAAUAAGCAGAUUCAAAGUAGAGCUUUGAUUGUGCUGAAAUGUCUUUGCAGUAAAACUGAACCCAAUGCAAAACUGGGGGUGUCCUAGAUUUAGCAGCUCUCUCUUAAUCAGCCUCCCAGCCGGAGAUCUCCGGGAUAAAUUUCUGCCUCGAGCUGUGGCUAAUUUGCAGCAUCCUCACACAGCUGAUAUGUGUCACUAGGAACUUUGGGUCUUUUAUUUCUAAAGGUAAGAUAGACAGAAGAAAGCUUAAAACUCCAUAUUAUUACAAAGCUAAUUUUUAAAGUGCCUCUUUGUUUUAAUCUAUAAAAUCUAUAAAUAUGAGAGUCAUGCCAUGUUUAAUUAACACAAGUUUAUGGCAAUUUCACUUAAAAAGAAUAUUUUCUAAAGACUAUAGUUGCGUUAAAACCAAGGAACUUGCCCCACUAUUCUGUGAGUUUUAUGGCGCCUCCCAACCGUUGUGCCCCGUAUCAGGAAACAAGAGAAAAUAUACCUCUUGGCAUUUCUAGAACCUACUGCAUUUUAAUCCAAUAUUUUUAAAAUCAUGGGUUGCAACCCAUUAGCUGGUCCUGAAAUCAAGUUAUUGAGAUGGCCACCAUCACUAAAAAACGAAAUAGGACAAAACAGAAAGUAGAGAGCGCCACCUUCAAGUGGGUAAGUGUUGUCUUCUGAAACUGUGUUUUGUGUACGUAUCUGUAUUGAUCAAAUCCAGUCGCUCCAUCUCUCCAGCAACUUCACAUGCACCUUUCUGAACACACUUCUAGAGAAGUCCUCCGUGCCCUCAGCCCCUUCACCCAGUUCCCAUAACAGCCAGAAUAAAGUCCAAAUUCUUUCACGGGUUUCAAGAUCCUCCCUCAAGGUCCUUCCAUUUAUUGUUUCAGAAAACGACAUCACCAUCUACUCAGGUGCUCAAGCUCAAAGCCAGGUAGUUCUGCUGGCCCCACCCCUUUUGUGGUCCACCCUGCCGGCUGAUCUUUCUUCUUCAUUCUUGCCGGGGUCUAGUCAACAGGUACCGCCUCAGAGGAGCUCCCUGACCCCUCCGUCUGGAUCAGCCUCCAAACCUACCCCUGCCUUUCUCUAGCACAUGUUGCCCUCUUUUGUAUUUUUUAGUAACAGUUCCAACUGAAAUUAUCUUGUUUGUUCUGGCAAAUGUAUCUGGUAUUGCUCUCCCCACCAGCGUGGCAGAGACCUGGUCUUUCUCUGUCCUGUCUCCGUGCUGACAUCAGUUCAGGGCUUCUGGUAGAAGAGUCACCAAUAACUAUUGACCCAGUGAAAACGUUCCUGAACUAAACUCGUGUUUCCUGAAAUAUUCUCUUCUACCUUUUUGUCAUGGUGCCUGCUGUUUCCUCUGCCCAAAGGGCACCAUAUCCACUUGUUCCCUUGGCAGGCUCCUAUUCAUCCUUUAAGAUUGCACCUGCUCUAUAAAAAACUUCCCGAUGCCCCUGGACUGAGCUCAUCCUUGUUCUCUUGAAGCUACAGCCCCUUUCGCUCACCAAAUGCCGUUGUUUUCAUACUGGAUUUCCCUGCUGGGCUGUGAGCUUCCCCAGGGCAAGGCUGUGGGCACUCAUGCUUUCUGUCUCCUCAACUCCUCACAUGUAAUUCAUCCAUACAGUUAUUCAGUAAAUGUUUGUUGAUUGAGUAAACAAAUGUAAGAAAGCAGAUGAUCAAGAAAGAUGAUUAUUUGUGAUGAUGUUCUCUGAUUUCAACUAUAAGCAAACAAAAUUCUAGAUUUAAGGAAAGGGAAAGAUAAGUCUGUGUGGAUGCCAUAUAGAGCAGUGUUGGGGGGAGGGAGGGAGUAAAGAGGAUGAGAGCAUAAUUAUUCUGUAUAAAAUAGGUCUAUUCAUAACACGGACCAUUUUAAACUUCAAGCUGUCUGAGCGCAUUUACAAUCCGAUACAGCCGACAGGUUUCAUUUCCUCACGGUUUUUAGGAGCAGACGGUGAGGUGAAGUGAGGGAACAGCGUGAACGCUGAGAAAGCUCAUGUGCCCGUGGUUCCAGGUGUGGCCUGGCCCGGCCAGGACCGUGGGGGUCCGCCCGGCUCCCAGUGAGAGUCUGAGAUCCUAUGAGGAAAUGUGAGUAAUAGAAAGCGGGGGUGGAAAGAAGAGGAAAAAUGUCCUGAA